rnacentral:lncRNA from 1 species
GAAAUCAGUUUAGACCUACUUAUCAGCAUAAGUAUAUAUACACGAAAUCAAAUGCAUUAGUAACUUUGGCAUUAUUGUAACUUUUGUGAAUAUUUGUUAAAAAUUCAUUUCUCACGAAUACCCUGUGUAAAUAUUCUUAAUUUGAAAAGUAUUUUCAUGUACAUUAUGUGUAUUAGUCAUUGUCUUAUGUUUAUAUAUCCAGUGGCAUUCAAAUAUCAUGUUUGUAUGGAUUAUAUUAGAUUUAUGAAGUAGAAUACUGUUGAGAUAUUGUGUAUCUUAAAUGCUUUGAAAUUAAAAUCUUAGAAAUAAUUUCUUUCCUAAAUUAAAAUGUUUAUUUUUCAUUAAGAUUAGGUAAAAUUAAUGUGAUUAUGAAGCAUUAGAAAGUGGAGAUAAUGUCUAGAAAUAUUAAACAACACUUAGAAAAGUAAAAUUGCAUCUAUAACACUUAGAAAAGUAAAAUUGCAUCUAUAAGCUUAGCUUAUGUUUUUAGAAUUGAACAGAACCUUUGAUAGCUGAUCCAUCAUUUUUCUAAAGGGAAACACUUGGAGCAGUGGAUCUGGAAGAGAAGAGAGGUAUAGAAGGAGUAAAGGGAGGGAGGGGAAACUGCAGUAAGGAUGUAUGAAAUAUUUUAAAAAUAUAUUGCUUAACUUUUUCUUUCAUUAACUGAGUCUGAUCUUAGAGAUUAUUCCUAGCCAUAACAUUGAACUUUUACCAAUGAUACUUUAUCAUUCAAAGAAUGUGAUAAGGAAAGAAGAUGAUGAAAUAAAAGAGAUAACUCCAGCUCUGGAAAUGAGAAGCAGAAAAAACCAAAAAUCAUAAAGAAAAAGAAAAAAACAACAGAACUCUAUGAAGGUCAUUUAAGAAGUACAGCAGAACUCUGGCAAUGAAGACAUUGUAUAGUUUUAUUCAAAAUCUAUGGUAUACUAUGAAGAACUGUUCAAAAUUCCCAUUAUGGAAGAGUGCAACAUUUAAUUCUCUUGAUUAUCUUCAUGUCUGUGAAGUUGUCAGGCAGCUCUAAUUUUGAAAUGAAUGAAUUUUAACAUCAGAUGAGAACAUCCAAUAAAACAUCUCUCCAUUGAUAAGUCUCCUA